ensembl:miRNA cin-mir-5611 cin-mir-5611
CGUCUUGGAUCGUAAUUCUGUGACGUGACAAACGGCUUUUGUUGCGUCGCAAAAUUUCGUUCUAAAGAUUUU